rnacentral:rRNA from 1 species
AGUCUGCAACUCGACUGCAUGAAGCCGGAAUCGCUAGUAAUCGCGGAUCAGAAUGCCGCGGUGAAUACGUUCCCGGGUCUUGUACACACCGCCCGUCACACCAUGGGAGCCGGAAAUGCCCGAAGUCAGUGACCCAACCAAUAAGGAGGGAGCUGCCGAAGGCAGGUCUGGUGACUGGGGUGAAGUCGUAACAAGGUAAC